rnacentral:rRNA from 1 species
GGGUUUCGGCUCGUAAACUUCUGUUGUUAAAGAAGAACAUAUCUGAGAGUAACUGUUCAGGUAUUGACGGUAUUUAACCAGAAAGCCACGGCUAACUACGUGCCAGCAGCCGCGGUAAUACGUAGGUGGCAAGCGUUGUCCGGAUUUAUUGGGCGUAAAGCGAGCGCAGGCGGUUUUUUAAGUCUGAUGUGAAAGCCUUCGGCUCAACCGAAGAAGUGCAUCGGAAACUGGGAGACUUGAGUGCAGAAGAGGACAGUGGAACUCCAUGUGUAGCGGUGAAAUGCGUAGAUAUAUGGAAGAACACCAGUGGCGAAGGCGGCUGUCUGGUCUGUAACUGACGCUGAGGCUCGAAAGUAUGGGUAGCAAACAGGAUUAGAUACCCUGGUAGUCCAUACCGUAAACGAUGAAUGCUAAGUGUUGGAGGGUUUCCGCCCUUCAGUGCUGCAGCUAACGCAUUAAGCAUUCCGCCUGGGGAGUACGGCCGCAAGGCUGAAACUCAAAGGAAUUGACGGGGGCCCGCACAAGCGGUGGAGCAUGUGGUUUAAUUCGAAGCUACGCGAAGAACCUUACCAGGUCUUGACAUACUAUGCAAAUCUAAGAGAUUAGACGUUCCCUUCGGGGACAUGGAUACAGGUGGUGCAUGGUUGUCGUCAGCUCGUGUCGUGAGAUGUUGGGUUAAGUCCCGCAACGAGCGCAACCCUUAUUAUCAGUUGCCAGCAUUAAGUUGGGCACUCUGGUGAGACUGCCGGUGACAAACCGGAGGAAGGUGGGGAUGACGUCAAAUCAUCAUGCCCCUUAUGACCUGGGCUACACACGUGCUACAAUGGAUGGUACAACGAGUUGCGAACUCGCGAGAGUAAGCUAAUCUCUUAAAGCCAUUCUCAGUUCGGAUUGUAGGCUGCAACUCGCCUACAUGAAGUCGGAAUCGCUAGUAAUCGCGGAUCAGCAUGCCGCGGUGAAUACGUUCCCGGGCCUUGUACACACCGCCCGUCACACCAUGAGAGUUUGUAACACCCAAAGUCGGUGGGGUAACCUUAUAGGAACCAACCGACCUAAGGGAGCC